GGGGCCUGGAGCGGAGGUCUAGCUUCGUACUCAGGACUGCGGCUCUGGCAUUAACCACAAUUUGUGGUCUUGGGCAAGUGACUGAAUUCUGUGCAUCCUCCACUUCCUCACAUGUACGAUGGGUGUGGCAAUGGCAUUUCUGUCAUCGAGUUGUCAGGAGGAUUAACGAAAACGAUCCAGCAAUAUUACUGAGCUCAUUGUCAGGGCUCUGGAGAUAUUACUGAUCUUUCUUGGCAAGGAGGCCAGCGGCUGCACGGGCCAGGGCUGAGGAAUGUGCCAUCGUUGUGCACGUCCUUUAGUGCAGCUGCCCUGCAAGGUCUGCACUAAGGGCAGGACCCAAGGAUGUGUGUGCGUGGGUGUGGGGGGAUGGGAACAAGCAGCCCUACCCCUCUCUUCUAGAGACAAACACCUGCGUAAGUUUCCUGCCCCCUCCCCGCCCCUGCGGUGGUGCUGGACUACCUCCCCAGGGCUCAUGCCUUUCCACAACUCAGUGGGCACAGGGCGACCGCCUCCCUCCACCCAGUGUGGACUACUCCGGAGCCGAGGCCCGCACCUCGGUGUCCCCAGGAGCUAACGAGCGCCUGGAGCCCACACAGAGGGCACUCAGGGCUGAGAGAGGGGCUACAUGCCAUACCAGAGACCGGAAAUCAGGCAUUCUUUGGCAGUUUCCGUACCCACCUUGAGGAGAGUCUGAAGUUUGCUAUCAGACUGUACAAAGUUAAAAACUCAGUCCCCUCUAUAAACUAACAGCAAGUCAAGAGCCACACCCAGCGGCUGUGAUGUGAGGGCUUGACUUGGUCCUGGGCGCCGGGCUACUGCUGUGAGCAACACACGCAGGGCUCUUUCCUCACGUGCACCUCACCAUGUGUGCCAGGGAAGGCGGUGACAUCCAUGAUUACAUAAGCACGGAGUGUGCUGGGUGGAGGAAGUUCAAGGUGCUGCCAGGAGGGGUGGGCCCUGGUCUCCAAGAGCCAUUUCACUCUCACACCCUAGGAUUGCGACGCUGUCUGAUCGCACACAAGCCUCGCUGUCAUCAUCCCCAGUUUUUACAGAUGAGGACCCUGAGAAAGAUCACCUGGUUUUCUGGAGGACUGAGUCCCCACAGAGCCAUAGCUCCUUCCGCCCAGCCCAGCGGCUCUACUUCCUUCUCCCCACUAAGCCUGCCUCAGAGCCGCCCAGCCUGCAGACCCUCCCGUUCUGGAGGAACUGGGAGCAGCCGCCCUGCUCUUUAUUUACCUUAGAGUAAAAACGUCCUCUGAGAAAGGGAACUCAUCAAAAACACCUUCUGAAGUACACAGACAGGUCGGCUGCAGGGGAGGGGCGAAUGGUGCCAUAUCCUGCUGCAGAGAUGAUGCCCCUACGUCUCCCAGGUGGUCACUGCAGCUCAGCCUGCUCCCUGGGCUCGGCCCCUGCUCCCCCCGCAGCCCCACUCCCUCCAGACGCCCCCCUCCUUCCCCUCCCUCCGCGUGGGGGCCUUUCCCAGCUCUCUGAGCAGGCCACACUGACUGUUUUGGUCUCCCUGACCUGGUACACAACCAUCCCUCUCCCAUCUCUGCUCUGUUAUUUCCCUUUGUCAUUAAAAUUUUAAACUCUAAGUAUAUUAUGCAUCCAAGUAGGCAUAUAUAAUUUUAUGUGUCACUUAAAGAAGAAGAAUAAAACUACCACCUGCCUGUAUUCAUGCCACCCAACUUAAGAAAUAGAAUAAAAAUGGAAACCGAA